GGGGGGGGGGGGGGGGGGGGGUGGGGGGUGGGGGGGGGAGGGUAAGGGGCGGCGAGGGGCUGACGAGGGGCGAACGGGUGAGUGAUGCAGAGGGAGGUGCCCGGGCGUGGGGGAUAACGACACGAAAGAGUAGCUAAUACCGCACACGAGGUAUGGAUGGAAGCGGGGGACCGUAAGGCCGAGCGAGAAUGGCGCGGCCGAUGUCAGAUUAGGUGGUUGGUGGGGUAAAGGCUCACCAAGCCAACGAUCUGUAGCUGGGCUGAGAGGACAACCAGCCACACUGGGACUGAGACACGGCCCAGACUCCUACGGGAGGCAGCAGUGGGGAAUUUUGGACAAUGGGCGCAAGCCUGAUCCAGCAAUGCCGCGUGCAGGAAGAAGGCCUUCGGGUUGUAAACUGCUUUUGUACGGAACGAAACCGCUCUGGUUAAUACCCGGGGCUAAUGACGGUACCGUAAGAAUAAGCACCGGCUAACUACGUG
rnacentral:rRNA from 1 species